GUAGAUAUAGUUUAAAGCUAAAACAUUAGACUGUGGCUCUAAAGAUGGGGGUUAAAAUCCCCCUACUUACC
rnacentral:tRNA from 1 species